CCUACGGGAGGCAGCAGUGAGGAAUAUUGGUCAAUGGGCGCGAGCCUGAACCAGCCAAGCAGCGUGAAGGAUGACUGCCCUACGGGUUGUAAACUUCUUUUAUAAAGGAAUAAAGUGAGGUACGCGUGCCUUUUUGUAUGUAUUUUACGAAUAAGGAUCGGCUAACUCCGUGCCAGCAGCCGCGGUAAUACGGAGGAUUCGAGCGUUAUCCGGAUUUAUUGGGUUUAAAGGGUGCGUAGAUGGGUUGUUAAGUCAGUUGUGAAAGUUUGCGGCUCAACCGUGAAAUUGCAAUUGAUACUGGUAGUCUUGAGUGCAGUUGAGGUAGGCGGAAUUCGUGGUGUAGCGGUGAAAUGCUUAGAUAUCACGAAGAACACCGAUUGCGAAGGCAGCUUACUAAACUGCCACUGACGUUGAUGCACGAAAGUGUGGGUAUCAAACAGGAUUAGAUACCCUUGUAGUC
rnacentral:rRNA from 1 species